rnacentral:lncRNA from 1 species
CUCUCCAGGCUCGGGGUCGGGAAUGAGCGAGGGUCCGGCAGAUUUGGGGCUCCGAGGCCACAGCCACAGCCUCCUCAAGAAGUUUGAAGUCUGCAUUGAACUCAUUAAUUUCCAGCUUUUGGCCGGGCGUGGUGGCUCAUGACUAUAAUUCCAGCACUUUAGGAGGCCAAGGUGGGCGGAUCACCUGAGGUCAGGAGUUUGUGACCAGCCUCACCUACAUGAUGGGGCCCAUGAGUGAGGAGGACAAGAGAGAAAGGAGAAGUUUGGGUGUAAAUCCCAGAGAUUGUUCAUCAUGUGAGAGGAGCCGUGCAUGCAUUUCAUGCCAUACUCACACCAUGGAUGGAGAAAAAAAAUCAAGCUUCACUUUCUGAGAAUGGCCCUGGGGGCACUGCAUCUAGUGCCUGUGCAUCUGCAGACCUGCCGGAUGCCUCCAGGGGAAUCAUGCCACCCCAAGCAAGAAAGGGCCCAGUUGCCAGGAGCCUGGAGGCAGAGAGCUGAGGAGCCAGCCCCUGACAUCAGAAUGGAGCUCAAAGGUUGGCUGGGUGUGACUCUGCCGUGGACAGCUUCUCUUGGGAAAUCUACUUUAAUGAAUCCAGGGGACCAAUUUGUAAUCAGCCCAUCAGAUGUUCAGCGACACUUAGCUGGAAUCUCGUUGCUGGACUCUGUGCCCCGCAGUGGAUGACAGUUCUCCAUCAGGGUCUGCAGUCCUCUACCCUGGACUUGCUGCAUCCUGGAGCCCCCAGCAGUCAGGUACCGGCUCUCAGAACUGCCUGCAUCCCAUUGGCCUGAGCUGCUGUCUGCCAGGGCUGCUGGUAACCAGGCCCACAGGGUUGGAUAUUCCCCCAACAGGGCAGCUCCCAGUCCAAGCCCAACUGUUACCAGCCCAGAAAGAUGUUUCAGGAUACCCCUUUCCUCCCCACUUCCCUGCCCUCUGCAGCUCCAGCUGGUGCACCCCAUCUUUCUCUCCCCCUCCCUGCUAGGCUGGGCCCUAACAGGAGACCUUUGAGGUGGUUGGGCUUGUUCUGCAACCUUGAGUACCCUUGAGCUACUGCCUCACUCCUCAGUUUUCUUCUUCUUAAGGUUUCUAAUUGGACUUUGCCAGUGUAUUUAUUUCAAAACUGGUCAUCUUACUGACCUCGCUCAUAGUCUCUUAUUACUUUUCUAGUUGAUUCUCUUGAGUUUUCUGGAUAAACAAUAAUAUCAUGUACAAAUAAUGAUGACAAUUUCUCCUCCUUUCCAAAUGUUGUGUUUCCUUUUGUGUAUUAAUGUACUCUUGCCUUGGCUAAAACUUCCAAAACAAUGUAAAAUAAUUGUGUUAAUAGCAGGCUUUCUCAUUCUACCCUGACUAAAAUAUGAAUGACCCUGGCUAGGUGUUUUAUUGCUAAGAAUGAUGUUGACGGUUGGUUGCAGAUAGGUUUUUUUUAUUAUUAUUAUGCCAAGGAAAUGUUCUUUUAUUUUUAUUUUACUAAGGGUUUUCAGCAGAAUGGAUAUUCAGUUCUGUCAAAUGAGUUUUUGAUGUCAGUUAAGAUGAUCACAAAACUAUUUCCUUUCUGGUAAUUGACAUGAUUAAUUAUAGGGGUGGAUUUUCUGAUAUGUAAACGUCAUCACUUCUAAUGUAGACAUCUUUGAAUUGCGGAAGAGAUCCAUUGCCAGGGAGAAUCUGUAUUGGUUGGAUCUGUAUUGUGCUGAGUCCCAUGAAUGUGAACUCAUAACUUUUCCCGCAUCACCCCCUAAUCCAGGAUGGCCUGUCAGGCAGGAGCACUGUGACGCCUAAGGGCUUGAGCUGGGGCUCUGGAGAGCUGGAUGGGGUGUCAGCUUGUCCCAGGGUGAUCUUUCUAAAGGCCAGUCCAAUCACAUGACUCCCUUUAGUGGCUCCCCAUUGCCUUCAGCAGGAAACUCGAGCUUCUGUGUGCAUUUUCCAGGCCUCUUACAACUGGCCUCUGUCCACACCACUUAUCACCUCCAAUCUCUCACCUAGAACCAUAUAGGACCAGAACUCCUGGAAGGAGGCUCCCCCACAUCUCCUAUGCCUCCGGCCCUCUCACUUGGCUGCUCUCCUGCCUGGAAUGUCCUUUCCACCUUCCUUCCCAGGCAGGACUUAUCAGUCCCUGCUCUUCCGACCCCACAAAGCUCAGUUACUGCGUCAUUGCUACUUACCAGGGGGAGGUUAGUUUCUAUGUUCACCUCUAUCUCUAGAAGCCCCAGGAGGUUGAGGACCUGCCUGAUCCACCCCAUCUCAUCUCCCAGCCCAGUGUCUGCCCCAUCACAAAUGUUGCUCAAUCAGCCCUAGGUCAAACAUUUUGUUCACACUCAUGGACCCCCUACUUGACCCACCGCCUGUGACCUGCAGGGUUCGCUGUCCCAGUGGUGGGCACUGAGAGGCCCCAGUCGCAGGCCUCACAGGUGGCUGCAGCUCCCUGGAGCCUCUUUAGAAAAUGCAGUCGGCCUUGUUUCCUCCUCAGAAACAACGACUUAGCACAGCAUCCGGGCCCCAGGGGAGAGUGUUCCCCCCUCAAAAGCUGCUGCCAUUGGAGAUGCAGGAGAGGAAGCCAAGUGGGCCCAGGAGGGACCGGAUGAUUCGGGGUAGAUGGGAGGGAGUGAGCAGGAGGGGCUCUGAUAGGCUGCAUCCCUGGGGUUUCCUGCACAUCCCAGAUGCUGGCACCUGCUCUGGGCCUGGGCCGGCAAUAGCUCUGUGUCUGGCUCUCCACCGGGCCUUGGGUGCAUCCCCUGAUUCCCCCAGGGUCUUCUCACCCGACUCUCCAUGGGAUCCAUUUUCAACUCUCUGUGUUCCCUCAACUACUAGGCAGCCAGCUAGAGUCCUCACCUCUUCAGAAAAGCUGAUACUAGUUAAGCAUCCCAAGUCUGAAAAUCUGAAACCUGCAAUACUCCAGAAUUUGAAACUUUUUGAGCGUGGACAUGAUGCUCAAAGGAAACGCUCAUCAGAGCAUUUCAGAUUUGGGAUUUGGAGAUUUGGGAUGCUUAACCA